CGGUUAGUAAAUUAGUUUUAAAUUUGUCACGUAAAAUGUUUAUCACAUCUAUUUGGUUAAACACUAUUCCAUCCGAAAAAUAUCAGAUUUCUGAUAAAGCGAUCCGAUUAUCACUUACCCUCCUGCGGAUUGGUCAGCAACUGAGUUUAGGAACAGUUAAAUCUAGUAGCUGAACAAACUGCUGAAUUUAAGAACUAUAAGUGUUGAAUUCCAGGUAUAUGACAGGAGGCGGUAACUCUCCCUGGAAUAAUUGUUUGCCCUUCACCCUAUUAAACGUGGAUAAAUUAAUAAUUAAUUAAAAAUCUUAGAUAAGCAAGGAAAAAAGUAAUUACUAUAAUUUUAAUGAGGCCCCUCCCUCCACAGAAAAAUAGUUUGGAUUCAACACUGACUAUAAAACAGUAAAAGACUAUGGAAGCCCACGUCAUAAACGUGAGGCGUACACAUGUGAACAUAUUAAAAAACAAAUAAAUGUCGGUAUGUAAAAAUGUAAUACCUAUUACCUGCCUAAUGAAAAAUUGAAAUUUGUAUAUUGUUAAUGUACAAUAGUUAAAAUAAUAAUG